rnacentral:rRNA from 1 species
AGGACGAACGCUGGCGGCGUGCUUAACACAUGCAAGUCGAACGGGGUGUUUAUUUCGGUAAACACCAAGUGGCGAACGGGUGAGUAACGCGUAAGCAAUCUACCUUCAAGAUGGGGACAACACUUCGAAAGGGGUGCUAAUACCGAAUGAAUGUAAGAGUAUCGCAUGAGACACUUACUAAAGGAGGCCUCUGAAAAUGCUUCCGCUUGAAGAUGAGCUUGCGUCUGAUUAGCUAGUUGGUGAGGGUAAAGGCCCACCAAGGCGACGAUUGGUAGCCGGACUGAGAGGUUGAACGGCCACAUUGGGACUGAGACACGGCCCAGACUCCUACGGGAGGCAGCAGUGGGGGAUAUUGCACAAUGGGGGAAACCCUGAUGCAGCGACGCCGCGUGGAGGAAGAAGGUUUUCGGAUUGUAAACUCCUGUCGUUAGGGACGAUAAUGACGGUACCUAACAAGAAAGCACCGGCUAACUACGUG